UACAGAGGGUGCGAGCGUUAAUCGGAAUUACUGGGCGUAAAGCGCACGUAGGUGGUUUUGUAAGUCGGAUGUGAAAUCCCCGGGCUUAACCCCGGGAACUGCAUUCGAGACUGCAUUACUCGAGUAUGGGAGAGGGAAGCGGAAUUUCCGGUGUAGCGGUGAAAUGCGUAGAUAUCGGAAGGAACAUCAGUGGCGAAAGCGGCUUCCUGGCCCAAUACUGACAC
rnacentral:rRNA from 1 species